GCGGCCGUGGCGGAACGGCAGACGCGCUAGUCUCAGGAACUAGUGGGAGCAAUCUCGUGGUGGUUCAAAUCCACUCGGCCGCA
rnacentral:tRNA from 1 species